GCACGGGCGGCCGGGCGGAGUUGGCUCCCGGCGGUGGUGGCUUCACUUUCCAGGACUGAGGGGCGGCCAGAGCCGCAGCCGCGGGCAGCAGCCUCGAGAGCCGGAGCUGGAAAGGCCGGGGGCGGCGACCUUGAAAUCCUCCAGGGCCUCUCUGCAGGAGAGAAGUCAGAGGUUCUCUGAGAAAGAUGCAAGAGAAACAAACGCCGUGACUCUAAAGUGAAGACUCUGUUUCCAUGCCCUGCCCCAGUGUAGACCGGAGGCAUGACAGACUGAGUGACAGAACAGAUCGCAGGAAUGCAUUCCAUUAUCUUCGGAAUCACAGACCCAUAAAACAUCUGGCUUCCGGGUGCAUCACCAACAUGUGGGCCAGCAACUCAAAUCUGCUUCGUUCUGACGGAAAAGACAGUAUGCUUUUAUGUUUGAAUUGUAUUGUCAAGGUGAUGUGCAGAGGGGUUACAGUUACAAACAUAAGUACCCAAAUAAGAAUAGGAGAGUGAGUAGUGACCCCUUGAGACUGUUGAAGUUAUUCAUUGUCCUCAGAAUCAUGGAUACAUCAAGCAGUGCAAGAAGGUGAACCAACAUUCCACAUCUCUUCACCAAGGAACUGAGCCUGAUGCCUCAAGACACAGGGACUGAGAGCCUGAGGUAUUUCAGAUGCUCACAAAUCCCUGCCAUCAGGAAGGCUUACUGGAUUCCACCCAUAAAGUAGUACUUUAUGGAACUCGGAGGAAAGGAACUAGACCUACUCAGGAUCCCACGAUUUUUUCAACUCCCUGACUCCACAAAAGCAAGCAGAAAACUCAGAGCCAGUAACAGCUUUCUCCUUGGGGGUCCAAAAUCCCAAAAUGUUUGGUAAACACCUCUAUCUUUAUGUUGACUCAUUUUUUUUUUGUUUGAAUGACAAGAAACGUUUGUUUACUUACAAACGAAGAUAUCUACAUACUUAUACUCCCAGCCCAAAGCUGAUGUUCAAACCUCAAUAGCUCUCUCCUAUUGCAUCCAUGUUUCCUUAUUCACUAACUUCCCUUGUAAAACCUGCAUUAUUUUGUUGGAAUUAUUUAAAAUUGUAUCAUUUUUGUUUUAUAUUAUUA